UAAUUGUCUAUCUUCGUUCUCCUACCAGAUGAAUGCCACGGGCUGUGCCUCUCUUACUGUUGAUGCGUCAGUGUUUUUCAACCCCAACGUUGAAGAGCAAAUGCGAGACACAUUUCUUGUGAAUGACACUGAGGAGAGAACAGAUGUAAUGUGUCAAUCUGCAACGGUGUCCAUUAUGUGUGUAGUUGGCAAAGUCACAUUUGUGGACCUCUUGGUUCGAUGCUUAAUGGAAAGAUCUACGUGACUCGACAAAGCUGUAUAUCUCUUGGAGGGGAGCAAGUGGCCCAACAAACUGCUUUCGAAUCAUCCACAAACAAGAAUGGAUGGGCUGCGUUCUCCCUAAACACUGUUAAUCUUAAGGCUGAUCUGAAU